AGAGUUUGAUCAUGGCUCAGGACGAACGCUGGCGGCGUGCUUAACACAUGCAAGUCGAGCGGAAAGGCCCUUUGGGGUACUCGAGCGGCGAACGGGUGAGUAACACGUGAGUAACCUGCCCUCAACUUCGGGAUAAGCCUGGGAAACCGGGUCUAAUACCGGGUAGGACCUGGUGUGGCAUCGCAUCGGGUGGAAAGUUUUUUCGGUUGGGGAUGGGCUCGCGGCCUAUCAGCUUGUUGGUGGGGUAGUGGCCUACCAAGGCGACGACGGGUAGCCGGCCUGAGAGGGCGACCGGCCACACUGGGACUGAGACACGGCCCAGACUCCUACGGGAGGCAGCAGUGGGGAAUCUUGCGCAAUGGGCGGAAGCCUGACGCAGCGACGCCGUGUGGGGGAUGACGGCCUUCGGGUUGUAAACCUCUUUCAGCAGGGACGAAUUCAGACGUGUACCUGUAGAAGAAGCGCCGGCUAACUACGUGCCAGCAGCCGCGGUAAUUCA
rnacentral:rRNA from 1 species